rnacentral:rRNA from 1 species
UACGAAGGGGGCUAGCGUUGUUCGGAAUUACUGGGCGUAAAGGGCGCGUAGGCGGUGUGUCAAGUCAGGCGUGAAAGCCCCGGGCUCAACCUGGGAACCGCGCUUGAGACUGGCACGCUCGAGUUCGGGAGAGGAUGGUGGAAUUCCCAGUGUAGAGGUGAAAUCCGUAGAUAUUGGGAAGAACACCGGUGGCGAAGGCGGCUCUCUGGACCGAGACUGACGCUGAGGCGCGGAAAGCGUGGGGAGCAAACAGG